ACUCCUACGGGAGGCAGCAGUGGGGAAUAUUGCACAAUGGGCGCAAGCCUGAUGCAGCCAUGCCGCGUGUGUGAAGAAGGCCUUGGGUUGUAAAGCACUUUCAGUCGUGAGGAAGGUAGUGUAGUUAAUAGCUGCAUUAUUUGUACGUUAGCGACAGAAGAAGCACCGGCUAACUCCGUGCCAGCAGCCGCGGUAAUACGGAGGGUGCGAGCGUUAAUCGGAAUUACUGGGCGUAAAGCGCAUGCAGGUGGUUGUUAAGUCAGAUGUGAAAGCCCGGGGCUCAACCUCGGAAUAGCAUUUGAAACUGGCAGACUAGAGUACUGUAGAGGGGGUUAGAAUUUCAGGUGUAGCGGUGAAAUGCGUAGAGAUCUGAAGGAAUACCGGUGGCGAAGGCGGCCCCUGGACAGAUACUGACACUCAGAUGCGAAAGCGUGGGAGCAAACAGGAUUAGAUA
rnacentral:rRNA from 1 species